GAUUAUAUGUAAAAGGAGAGCAGACUGAAUAAGUGAAUUGCUGUGUUAGGGGCUUCACCGGGUGGGGAAAAUCGACGUGCCUGUCUAUGAUGGGUAAGACACUUCUCGUUAUUAGCUUUUUCAGUUUUACAAGUAACACAUGAAUCUCAACUCAUGCAUACACGUUUGGUUUUACAACUCAUGCAUACAAGUAAAGUAACUCAUGCAUGAUGCAUACACGUUUGGUUUAUAUGCUUAAUAGUUCAAAUUUCGUUAUUUACAUUUGUUUAACGACUUAACAUUUUUGAAGUUAGUAAUGAAUCAUAAUCAUAAUCAUCUAACCAUACCUUCAUCUUGUAAGCAUACAUUAAGCAUAUGUUAAUCAUGUAAGCAUACGCUUAUCAAAUCAUGUUACCAUACAUUAAAGUAGUUGAUCAUGGUUGGUUUUUAACAAUGUUAAACUACAUGGUUUUUAACAAUUGGUACACAUUAUUAAUAAUCGGGUACACGUUUGCUUUUUUAACAAUUGGUUUGAAGAGUCAUGAUUCUUGUUAAGGUUUCGUUUUAUGUAACUUAAUUCACACUUGUGAACUGUCGUUAUGUUUUUUAACCAUUGUUUAACUUAUGUAAACAAAUAUUUCUGGUUUGUAACCAUUUUUAACGUUUAAGUGCACAAGAUUGACUACUGAAUCUUUUUUUCUUUAGUUUGUCAUGUGUAAGACAAGUGAACUAGGAGAAGAGCCCAAUACCAUUCUUGAUGCAGGUAAAACCCGUUGGGACGCUCACUAUCGAGGAAGUGCGUCCUUGUCAAGGUCUCAAUGUCAAUCAAGCGAGCGUUAUAGACUUUCCCCCGUAAUUUCACAUCACAUGCUACUAAUAAGGGAGUGACUAGUCCACCAAUACUGAGAUGUCCUUGCACACCUCUCCUAACAGCCUUAAUUAUCCUUGCAGUACAUAAACUUGUCUAACAGAACUGAGACCAUGCUACCAUCCGUUCUUUCUCCUACCAGUUGUCUACCAUCGUUAGUAAUUGGCAAUACGCCGCUCAAUGCUAUGUCUAUGAGCUGAAUCUCACUCUCAUUCACAUUCCCGGUUUCCUUUUUAGCUAAAAUCAUAUUAGCCAAGGACUUGUAGAAAUACCUCACAACUGGACUUCGUAUUCGAGCACUCUUGGAUUUCGAAGAAGUGUAUUCUUUCCCAUCUCUAAUGGUUUUGCAAACAGAUUUGAUCUCCUCCUUUAGCACUUCUUGGCUCAUUCCGUUUGCUUGCAAAAACCCAUAGAGCUUCUCAACUUCCUUAAAUGUGAGAGAAUAGGUAGUACCUCUCACGCUGAAGGUGAUGUAUCCAAGACAGUCAUCCGAGUGAAACUUAGAUUCAUCCUCGUAGAAAUGGAGCUGGAGCGAGGCUAACACGUAGCACGUCUUCUCAUCGUAGGCUUCUAAAUUCCUGGUCAUGAAUGAACCAAGCCCGCUUCUCUCGAACAGAAACUCCACAUCUCGUGCAAUGCCCAACUCCUUCAUCGUUUUCCGGUGAGGAUAGCGAGUUCCAACAAACUUUUGGCGCCUAAACAUUGCGUAUAGCUCUUCAAGAGAGGGUAGGUUCUUGGUCUUCCUUGGUGCCACUACCCUCCUAGGCUCCAAAUCCACCAUUGGUUCAUCAACAUCUUCUUCAGCAGGCCUCUUCCCCAUCGAAACUUCUUCUCUGGAAAUCGGGAGGGUCUGACCCGAUCGACUGUCCCGAUCGGGUGAUCGGGUCCGAGCUCGGGCUUCUCUUCUCCCACUUCUGACCCGAUCGAGUCCGGCUCCAUGGCUUGAACUAUCAAGAAAUUUCUUGCAAUUUCUUCAGCGGAUUGGCUGUGAUGAGCUUCUCAUUGUGCUCUUGAGAGGCUCUUCAUUCUGGGUUGAGGAAUCCUUGAAGACAUCUUUGUUUCCUGGGAAUGAGAAACUUAAAACUCAAAUUUAGUUGGUUAGUAACCCAGAAAAUAAGAACACCAAGAACAAUCUUGAAAACAAUCCCAGAAAAUAAGAAUGCAAAGUUCAGUUAUGAAAACAAACCCAGAAAAUGUGAAGAACAGAGAGCAAAUGUGGACUCAAACUCAGAAAUUUAUAACAACUAAGAACUAGAGAGGAGGAGAGAAUUCUAGAGACAUAAGUGAAUUUUUUUUUAGCAAAAUGAGAGAAUGAGAGGUUUGGUCGAGUUUAGGGGUUAUAAAGAGGGUGAGAGGGGACAAAAAUUUGAAAGGGGAGCGUUUUUGGUCGGGCUUGAUCCGAAAUUUGAAAUUUAAAUUGGGUUGACCGUUGACCCAACCGUUAUCUUUGACCCGAUCGGCCGGCUGAGAUGAACCCGAUUGGGUGGCUCAGAUUGAUUCGAUCAGACGGCUGUGAUCGACCCGAUCGAGUAGAGUUGACCCGACCGUGUGCAUGUUGACUCGACCAAAUGGGCUUGUGAAAUUGACUCCUUCUUCCUUAUUUCCUUAUCUUGACCCAAUAACACCUUUCUUCACUCACAAUCAAACCUGAAAACACAUCAAACUAAAAGGAACAUUAAAUGAUAAAAACUUGGAGAAAUAUGUACAGGGAUACGAUUGGGACUUCUUCCCAAGUGAGCUUGUUUAUAGUCACUAAGCUUUACUUGACAUAGUCCUCACGAAGCGGUUGAACAAUGGAGAGGAUCGACAAUUCUCUCCAAGGCUAGUGACCAAUGUAUAUGAUACCUAUUCUUUGCAGCAUAUCUCUUCUUGAAAGUAAGUACCCUCUUUGCUUUCCUAGAAGUCAAUAUGUUGUUCCUCUUCUUUAACACCACAAUCUCCUCGGUUAACCCCUGAAUGGUGGUGGCCAGUCUCAUUAGGUCUUUCUUGAGAGUCUUUACAAUUUGGAGUUCAGUGCAAGUUGGAGAGGAGGACGAGGUUUCUUUUGUUUUGAACGUUGUACUUUGGUAUGGAUACGCCAUAUUGAUCUUCAUCUUCGUUCCUCUAGCAAGAUCGAGGGUCAUGAUUCCCUUUCCCAUAUCAAUGACCGCACCUGCUGAGGCUAGAAAUGGUCUUCCGAGUAUCAUUUGAUAUUGUGGUUCUCUUUCCAUCUCCGAAAUAAGGAAAUCCGUGGGAAUCUUUAUUCCUCCAACUUUGACAACGAGAUCCUCCAGCACUCCUACAAGUUGUCUCGAGUUUCUGUCCGCCAUCACACUUGUCAAGCUGCAUGGUGUAAAGGUUGUAUAGCCCAUCCGCUAAGCUAUUGAGAGGGGCAUCAAGCUAAUCGAAGCUCCAGAGUCGCAUAAACACUCGUUGAAGAUCGUUGAUUUGAUUGAGCAGGGGAGUGUGAAAGCUCCAGGAUCUCCCAUCUUCUUGGAACAACUAGAAUCUUGAAAUGGUGGAGUCCAACUCUUCCUCUGCUGCAUCAUUUCCAAUCGAACUUCUUUGAGAAUCUCCAUGUAGGAGGGAAUGUUGGCGAAAGCAUGAACUAAAGCCUUCAUCUGAUCAUUUCCUGAUAGAGAAUCGAGGAUGUGGUUAUACUCUUCGUUGAUUUCGGCUUUGAAUUCUUCUAGGUAAAGUAGUGGUCUUUGGUUCGAGGGCUUGGGGCUGGUAGUUCUGAUCGGGCGAAGAGGCUCGUCGGAACUUAAUUCACACAACCGGUCAGACAAGCAGCGUACACGAUAUCGGGCCCGAUCGGAUCAGUGGUACACUUGAUCAGACCGAUCGGAUCUGUAGUAGACUCGAUCGGGUUCGAUGUUGGCUCGGUCGUGUCUGAUGUACGCUCGAUCGGGUUCACCGUGUAAGACAUAAGUUUGGGCUGAAUUCUCCCCCUCUUGAAUCUCACUGUCCUCGGUGAUAGUUGGGUAUGGAUUUCCAAAAGUAAUCGCGUGAGCAGUAGCAAACUCCUUAGGGUUCAUGAUAGACUUUCCUGGGAGC
rnacentral:lncRNA from 1 species